GAUAACCUUUGCUUCAGUCUGCUGCAGGAGCGGAGGGCUGGGGGUGGCUAAUUUGGAAUUCAGUUCCUAGGGACUGGGCACCAAAACUCAGCAAGUCUGGUAAAAAGGGUAAGAGACAGUAAAAGUCACCAGGCUGACCAGAGUGUGAAACAGAGAGGAAGAGUCUGCAGAUGUCAGCAGGGCAAAGAGAUGCUGCAGAGCUUUCCUUGAAGCCACCACAGGAAUGAUUGGGCUUGGUGGAGCUGACGUCGAUUUCUGUAAGGCUCCAGGGGAAGUUCUCACCCUGAAAGGUUAAGGCAACGUGGCUGCCUUGCAGCAAGACGAGAGGCAGUCUCCUGAGUCCAGGACUGGUCAACACAGGACAGGGGUGAGAACAGAAGGUCAGCUGUUUGUCAAGGAAUCCAUCGGCGGUGCCCCACAGAGCCCUGCAUGGUGGCCAGGGCUGCUUCAUGUGAGUGGUUGGGAAAAGGGACUGGAGAGGCUGGCUACCAGCUCUGCUGCUGUACAAGAUAUUUGGGGCUGCAAAAAGGGAAGCUGGCUGCAAGGACACUGCAUGAUAAGCUGCAGGAUAUCGUAAUACCCGGCAGCAGGAUGACAGAACAGCAGAUGAAAUAGAAUAUUGCUUAAUAAUCUACACUGGGUGGAAAAAUGAGUCCUAACUGCACUGCUGUGAUACCUUCAAGCAAGCUGUCCUCGUCUGAGACCUGGCUGAUCCAUCACCAAAUUUGGGACUGAGUUUCCCCAGAUUUGCCGCUCUCUGUAUUCCGGGUCCCCACCUCAGCACACAGGGCAGAGCCCAGCUCUGCUCGGCAGCGUCCGACCACAGGAAUGUAAUUACAGGAGCCAAACCCCAGCAGCUGCUCCCACCGCGCCCCGGCGAGCGGCACCCCGGCUCUCGCACAGCCACCUUUUCCCAUCUGCGCGCUACUUGUGGCUCGAAGUGAAAACUCCUCACGUCCCGGCACCGAGGUGACGCCGGAGGGGCCGCAAACCGGGAGCCGCGGCUGCUCCCCGGCCGGACGCGAGAUGGCGUGCGGGAUCGCUGCCUGCAGCCCCGGCCGACGCUUCCCGGGGUGAAAGGUCCUCCCCCGUUGGGGUCAGUUGGCCUCGCCCUGCUGAAUUUAACUGUUCCGCAGAAGCUUUGCCGUGUAAUUCAGAGUUUCCGAGGGGAAAGCAGACCCCACGGAGCUGGGUCACGUCGCUGCUUCCGUCCCUGGCUGCGUGGAGAUACAGCUGGAUGGACUGAGGCUUAUCGGGGAAAAUGGAUGUGGUCAGGAUGUGAUAAGGCAAUCAAAUCCAUCUCCAGAGCUGCAAGAAAAGGACGCAAUGUAUAAUUUAUUUGGCACUUUUCAUCUCCCUGUUUGCAGAUUGCUUGGUUUCUAAAUAUAUUUGUCCAGUUAUUCAAAAUUACUCAUGGAUCUCUUCAGUGAGUAAUACUUGACCUGCAGAUCAUCCAAAAAGUGAAUAUUGCAAUCAGACUCUCAGUUUCUGCUGUUGUUUCUUGUAGCUAACAGAUGUAUUGCGACUUAGGUAAUCAACUCAGGAGGAAACUCCAAUUUGAUUAUAAUGUUUGCAGUUCAGUUUCCACUGUGCCCGCUCAAGAAGUCACCCGGUCAGGAGAUGGCCAAAAGGAUCUCAUCUCUGGCACAAAGCAAGGGCUGCCUUUUCCACUCACUACAGACACAGAGCUGCUGCAGGGGGAGACUGAGUGCCGCCUCAUGGACCCACAGAGUCAUGGCCAACACACAAAGACUGAGCGCCAAAAGGUAACGGCUUUCCACUUCCACAGGUGCAAAAUGAGACUUACACCAAAGGUGUCCUCAUCACCAAGGUCUCUGAUAACUCUUUCUCCAGGAAGAGACAUUAAAUUGGAAAAGACCUUCACAUCGCUUCCUCAGGCAGCCUGUCCCAGUGCCUCCCCGCUCUCUCGUUAAGUUCUUCCUAACACCCAAUCUAAACCUCCCUCAUCACAACUUGAGACUGCUUCCUCACAUCCAAUCUCUUGCACCUGCCUGAAUCAACCCUUGGGUGCUUCGGUUCUUCUUCCAAUUUGCCAUCAGACUGCAGAGGCCUCCAGGGACCCCAGCAUUAAGCUGCUCUUUGCCCCCACCAGCAUUAAAUGCAUUCUCUUAUUCCCAUUUUCGUUUGUGAAUGGAAGUUUAAGGUCUCACUUAAUCACAUAAUCUCCAAAGCAGGAGCUUUAGGAGAUCCGUCAGCCACAGCAAAGCUCACAGUGCUACACCAGGGUCAGAAAGAGCAGUGUUGCCAUCUAGGGACUUGCUGCGAGCUUUAAAAAAGAGAGAGGUUUCUUUGGAUGAGAUGCUUCAAUGUAUUCCAUAGGAGUAGUGGCAGUUCGCUUGCUCACUGUAGGUGUGCUGGGGAGGAAGGGGGUUUUGCAAAAUGGCCUUUUAGGCUUGGCUUUUGUUUUCCUGCCAUGCGAGGAGCCCUGCCCCGUGUGCAUGCAGGAAGCCUGCAGCCAGCAGCUGCUCCACCGCAAUCUCAGCUCCAGGACUGCAGCCAUCCUCACACGCACUGCGCCUGUUUCUCACUGAUGUUGCUCUCCAUGUUUACUGAAAGUAAUUUUUCAGUGGAAGAGAAUGGAAGGAGGAUUUGCUGCUUCUGCCCUGGCAGGAGGGUUUACACACGAGCAAAUGGUUUGUAACAAAUGCAGUGUAAGAUCGAUGGAGCUGCUCCUCUGUUCACAAAUUGUUCACUGUCCAUGGGCUUGAAGAUGAAGAAAAUUUUCCCUUGUUUUGUAGAACACACACACACACAUUUUCUCAUUACUAUUAUUUAUGUAUACAUUCACUGGAAAAAAAAUCCACUCCUGAGAACACCUUUUGCAGAAUUAUUUUGGCUCACGUGUUGUUACAGCUGUAAUCUGGAGAGAGGACAAGUGUCAGCUGGAAUGGAAAGGCACUGCCGUGCCCUUGGCAGUGGGCAGCUGUGCUGCUGUGUGUGGGACGUGAAGCCCCCCCUGGCCCAGGUAAGUGAGGCCGCUCCAAGCCCAGCUCCUGCCCUGUCUGCGUCCUGCAGGAGUCAAAAGCCCCAUGAAACAUGCAUUGCUGCAGCCUGCCUAACAAAACCUAGCAGUUCAUUAAAAAGAAGGAAAAUAUUAUAUUUUUGCCCUGAAGAUCCAGGCAGUGCCAGGUGCUAAGUAGGUCACUAUUCAAAUCCCUGUCUUCGUUCCAGAUGUGGGCAUGUGUGCAUACUCUACAUAUUGAUUUGUGCAAACCAUGUAACAUACACAGAACUCAUUGGCCUGUGAGCUCAGCAAACACACAAUUGCUCUGCAAAUCCAUCGCUGGUAGCAGCAGUUGGGUUGCUUGCUCAAAUAAAUGCAUUUGCAAACUCUUCUGGGUCUGCUUUAAAAACACCAGUUUGUUUGCAUGGUGCAGUGCAGCCAGCUCUGCUCCACAGCCUACAGCCUCGAGCUCAGGUGCUUUCAGGUUUGCAUACAGCAAUUCCGAACACAAGCGCAUUUUUGCAAACAUAACUACAAAAAAAAAAAAAAUCUCUUUUGAUUUGUAAUUUAUGAGCAACUCAUUGUUUUGCAAAGCAGGAGCUGAUGUGGCACCCUUAGCUUGCGCAGGUUGGCUACCUGCUCAGCACCUCCCGGCUUGCCCCACAGAGCAGAUCCAUGCCAUCUUGUUCUCCCCACACGGAUUUGUGCUGCCAUCUUGUACACCCCAUUCAGAUUCAUGCUGCCAUCUUGUUCUCCCAGCAGCUGCUUCUGUGUCCUCCUGCUCCACCAGCGCCCCGUAAAACAGCCCCACGAAGCAGCCAUCCCCAGUUUAAGCCCAUCCUAAUCAAUCAGAGGUUGUUGUACGGGUCAAAGAGCGAACGACCCGCCUGUCUUUUUCCAGCCUGCCCAGAUACACACCGUGAUGGGGAAGGCUGGGAAUGUGAUACAGGCUGCAGCCCAGCAGUGCUCAUGGGGAGGGAAGCGGCGGCUCCGGGUGAGGAUAUCUGCGGCAGUUAUAUGACUAAUCCCGACAUCUACGGAUGUUUUCCCCUGCGCCUGUAAGAGUUAUGCGAUCCUAAGCUUCCUCGAGGAAAACAAGCCCAUUCUGUCUAGAUGACUAAGUGCUAGCAGAAAGCAAGUAUGUUUUUCCAUAUCUGAUGAGAGACCAAUGUGUCCAAGAGAACAGUGCCCCACGGAAAAGCUCACCAAAGCCACUGAAAGCUGGGCACCUGAGAACAGCUAGGUGCUCCCAGAAAGCAGCUGGGAGCCAGAAAAGCAGGAGCCCUUCUCCUACUCCUUUGCUCAGGCCAACAUAAACUGGGGACUGGGAAGGGCAAACAGGUGUUAAAUGUCCCUGGGGCUCCUCGGAAAAUAGGCAAUGUCAAAGCUCUAGCUCCGAGUGUUUUGGGAAAGUCACACCAAGGGUUCAUGGUCCCCAUCUCCACCUCCACGUUGCUCGCUUUCUGAUUUCACUGGGAAGAUAUUCAAGUACGCAGAGUUCAUUUGUGCUGGCAGCAAAACUCCAAACCCAGAGAUCUCCGACCAAUGUACAAUGCAAUGUACACAGAGCACAUUACCCACAGCCCACACGUGGUGAGGAAAAGUGUCACUGGUGGCUAAAGGCAGAAACACCUCACGUGGUGAAGGUUUCCCCCUCUGGACCGCCCUGGAGCAUGGUUUCCUCCUCCCGUGCUGAGCUGCAGUGAUGGAGCAUCAUCUUCUCAGUAAGUGUGGGUAUUCUUAGACUAAUAGGUUCCACAAAUUGUUUGUAAAGGAGCUUGCUUUGCCUGAAGCACCUACUUCUUCUCAAGCCUCCUGUGAUGCAGUGUAAACCAGGUUGCUAAUAAAAAUCAGUCUUUAAUUUGCUUCCUGAAAGCAGCUGACAAAAUACACGGUUUAUUUGGGAGUGUCUGUACACUCUUCUAUUUCUGUCCUUUUUAUUCAACCUCAGAGAGCAGCAAAGGGAACUGUGAGUACAGAGAGAGCCAGCCCUGCCCUGAAGAGAUUACAGUCUCAAUCAGAUAAUGCACUGCAAAUUAUACGUGGUGAGGCAGAGACCUCAGACAAGCUGAGUGGGGAGUAGGCUUGGUUUGGGAAGGAAACUGGGAAAAAUAAAUUUUAAGGAAGAUCUUGAAGGAAAGUAGAAUGAAAAACUGAGGAAAGGAUCUAGGGAUAUCAAAUGGAUGAGAGAGGUUGUACUGCAAAACACUGAAAAAAACCUGAAUAGCAAAGAUGAGAUCUAGAGCCUACGUUUCACUUACUUUGGGCACCAAAUUUCACAUGGUGCUUACACUUCUGUUAACUGGGCUAACAUUACCUCCACUAACUCAUCAAGGCUAUGCCUUUGUUUGUAGGCUCAGCUGAGCAGGAAUAGGGACAAUGGUGCAGCACCUGUUGCAGGAAGGACAGUGCCAGAUGAAAGUGAACAAGGGCAGGGAGCCGGGACACCAUUCAUUAGGGCAGCUGGCACACUUGGAAAAACUAGACAUGCUUUCAGGCACAUCAGGCUUCCUUGGGUCUGAAAUAGAAGCAAUAACCUUAGAGCUAAAUACAGGUUGAGAAUAAUUGUUCUGAGUUAGACUUCAUUAUAUUAAUGAAUUAGGCAAUUUGGGAGAAAGAACGAUUGGUUCCUGUUGAUCAAAGGGAGGAUACUCACCAGAGGACAGCUGAUAAUGUCAUUUAUGGCACGGAGUGGGGGCGAGAGAGAUGAGAAUAAUUAUUGCCUUGGGAUGACUGGCAAUAGCAAAAAUUAUAGUGUAAUAUGCAAGCAGUAUCUGUGUGAUUUUUAUAUCCUAGAGUCAGGAAUUCUAGUACUCAGAUGUGUUUUGAAGUUCUGGAGAGCUUCCUUAAAGGUUAGGAGUGAGAGGUCAGAGACCUGGUGGCUGAUCUGUCUCUGCGUGUUUCUGUCCUUUCCCAUUUUGUAGGAGUCAGUUUGGGUUGGUUACCAACCGCUGGAUCCGCAAUGCAAACUGCACAGCAGUACAGGAGAGCAGCAGACAGAAGGGCGGCGGUGGCCCCAGUCACUCAGUGUCCCUCAGAGAUCUGAUUCAGUUAAGCAGCUGCAAUUAACUGCCAGCACUCAUGAGUUCAUCCACAUCCAUUCUGUGAGCCCGUGACUUCCUAUGGAUCUAAACUUCCACUUAACAAUGAAGUCUUUUUGUAGCAUUGCAUAGAACAGCUUGACGUUUCUCAAAUUUAUUUACAUUUAUACCCAGAAGAUGAGCUGAUGUGGUGCAAGGUUGAUUAUUAUUUAUAGUUAGCUCAUAACUCCUAAAAUACGCUUGGAGGCCUGGAUUGGAGCUUCUCCAGUGACUCGGUUUGACAACACUGACAGAAGUCUUUAAGGACAGCACUGUAACUUUCUAGAAGACCCAAAUCGAGAACACUGUUCUGUAUUGUGCAAGAAUGAAAUUCAGUUGUUCUCAACCAAAAUAUGAUCUCUGGCUCAAAGCAGUUAAUCGCUACACCAUGGGAUUCACAGAGCACCUGCAGGGCAGGUAACUGCCCCAGGCAUUAACGUUUUCAACCGAAUCAGGAAGAUCUGCACUCUUCCCACUAAACUGCCAAACCGAGGUGCUCUUUACACCUGGCCAACACUGAGAGAUGCAGACGGACUGAGAACCUGUUGGCUUCAGAAAUAAGCUGCAGAAAUAAGCUACAGCAUCUGAGAGUCAGCAGGGAGCUAAAGCUCAGCUGUGGCUCAGAAGUACAGAAAACACUUCUGGCAAGGCUGAAUCAAUCUGCUGCAGACUGCCCAGAGUUCACAGCCAGCAGCAGAACCUGGUCGCCCCGUCUCUGUGCUUGCAUACAGGAUGCUUAAUAUUAUGGUCUAUUGAAAAUCAAAGGGGAAUUUGUUUUAGUUUGUAAAAUCUGUAUGCAAGCCUAAUUUUGACCAGCAGCAACUUCAGUGAGUAGGCUGGUGUAACAUUUUCACAUGAUUUGUACUGGAGGAAUAUAUACUUCUAUAUCUAUAGAAACACCCACAGAAAUUCUUUUAAAGAAUCACAAUAGUUGGAAUGUGAGAUCUCACAGCUCUCGAGGCUUUCUGCUCCAAUGGUGGGUGAACCAAACUCCAGAGCAUGGACAAUGAGAAUUAAGUGUUUUACUUGUAUAUGCAUGCCUUACUUCCAAAUGGAAGGUCACAUACCUUAACUGAACUGUACAACAGAGAAGACUCAGCUAAAGGCAGUAGAACUGGGGGAGUGACAGGUCAACCUCAGAUGCUCCUGUGGCACACAGAAAUCGGAUAAAGUUCAGCAGAAUUGACAACAAAAAGGCAGCGAUAGCCAGCAAACAUCUAACUUGAAUUUCAAUGGUGACAGAGAAGGAAACCAGCAUAGAAAAGGGCAAUGACUCACCCAGAGUCAGAACUGAAAUGCGGGUGCCCAAAUUGUCAUCCGUUGUACCACAUUCCUCACUGAGCUGCCACCUCUUGCUCCCACCAACAGGACUGCAACCUGCCAGGCUGUUGUAUUGUUGGGCACGGCUGUCCAAGCAGCAAUUUCACCCAGUUUAAUAAGACUGCAAGAAUGGAAUGUAAUUAACUGUAUUCUGACAUUCAGUAGUUCCUUAUGCUGUCUUUUUAUAUAGUGAAGUGGAGCCAGCCCAGGGGAGCUCAGUGCAUGCACUGUACCCGAGUGACCGGAAGGGAUGGAGCCAGGAUCUCCUCCUUUGCAGCCUCAUCUAAGUGCUGGCAGUGGAGGUAAGGGGAUCUCACUGGAGGUACCUGCAUACCUGAGGCCUUCCAAAGGCAAGCAGUUUUUCUUCCUCUGUUUCUGCAUCCACGGCUGCUGCAGUUGGGCUUGUCCUCAUUUGCUGCAGCCUAGGAUUGCGCCCCUCUCUACUGCUGCUGCACUUUCCAUCACAUUGCAGGAAUUAUUAUAUUCUGACAAGGAAAAAAGGUGUGUUUCCAGGGUUGUUCUCAAUUGCAUUAAUCUUAUUGCUAUCACCCCUCUCAAAGAAGCUUCUCCAAGAAGGUACUAAACCAUAAUUAAGGCACUGCAUUCCCAGAGAUCUCUUUUGUUUUAUGCUAUGGGUAAUCUUUAAGCUAAGGGGAAUGCGGAAUGCAGCUCAAUGAGCUCCAUGAGGGCACAGGGCUGACAGCCUGUUUGAACAUAAUGGUGCCUCUGCUCUCAGAGGAGCAGAGGAUCUCUGAUUUUAGGCCUCUGAAGCGCUCAAUUACCAAAUAAAAACUACAGCGAGUUCCCUCAAAACUGCAGCCACCGAUGUUACGGAUUGUUUUCAACAAACAAAAGAUGACAGCAUAAAGGAUGGGGGUAGGGGACGUCUGCACUGUAUGCCAAGGUUUUUCUAAAAAUAUUUUACACCUGCUAUUUGUUGCGCACACUGAUCAUAUUUUGUCUGUGAGGUAAAGAACUCGCAGUGCCAAGGAGAACAUGGUUUAUGUUUCUGAAGCCUUAAUGCUUUUUCCCUUCUGUGAGGCGAAACUCCUUACUACCUUCACUAAAAUAAAGCCAAGAGGACAAAAGUCACACAUACGCUGCCACAGUAACAGUUUAACCAUGCCUCUCGCAGAGCUUUGGAAACAGUCCCUUCAGCAGGAUUUUACUGCUCUGGCACUUCAAUUUAGCAAACUUUUUAUGCAGCUCAUGAGAGGAAUGGAGCCAACUCUGUACACUCAAUUUAAAUCAACUUGCUGAUGGUAGAAAAAAGAAUGCUGAACCGUCGGUUUGCUUCAUCUGCUCCAAAACUACCAACACAAACUCUGGGGUAUUUAUUACUGAAAGUUAAUAGAACAGUCUGGGGCACGAGCUCAGUGAAUGAACUCUGGUUUGAUCCCAUGCCGGCUGAAAGAGCUGAUUUAACAACUAGUUGUUUGGUUACUUGAUAUUUCCGAAGCGCAGCAGGACGGUUUGCUGUCGCAGGCCGCUGUGUUUGUGGUGCAGGGGAGCACAGAGCCGUGCUGCUGCUGGGCGAGAAUCUGCCUGUGGCCUGCAGCAAGAUGGUACCAGCGAUGCUCCAGAGCUUGCUGAUUUUGCACGGUGAAGAGCAGGGAAUGAUCCUUUUGUGACUCGAACUACAGUUUGUGUAAGUUGUGACUGUUUGCUUGAAGCUGAGAGAACCACAAAAACCUGCACUCACCGAGACUGCAAUGCCAGGCCAGCCCAUGGCCUCCGGGUUCACCGCCGCAGGUGGAAUGUGGAGAACAUGGCGUGGCAAUGAAGCACGAUGCACUGUGAACUUGACCCGUGAACCGGCUCUCCCUCAUGAAAACAAUCACACCGUUUAAUUUCGGCUACUACAACGAGAUCCAGAGGGAGCUCUGUCAUUCGUCCACACAACAAACGCAGCCCAGACCGUAGCUGUCAAGCCCUCUGUGCCCCACCGUGCCAAGCAGACCCUGAACUCAAUCUCACUGAUUCCCCCAUUACAAUGUUCAAAAGUAAUCAACUUGUGCUGAACUGAGUCAGCCUUACAAAUGAACGUGCGGCCACCCCUUAUCAAUGGCUACACCAACACCCAAACACUAACCUUGUUUUAAUGUAGCAUGAUUGUUUUAAAAAUCUUAAAUGGAAAAGCAAAUUAGUACAACCUUCACUGCAGUUAUAACUUCGUCUUUGUAGGGUAGCAGGCAUGGCUUAGGUCUGCCAAAUUCCACAAAUCUGGCAGAUUUAAUAAUUAUUAUUUUAGGUUUUGUGCUCCGUUUAUUUAAGAGAGGAAGAAUGGACAUUUUAACAAAUUAACCGGACAGGGGGAGAAAACAAACCCCAGUAACUACUGAUUUUGACAUUUUAUAAAACCAGCAGAAAUACCUUGAAAAUUCCGCCUUGCAUGUUUGAAGAGAUCUACACAAAAGAUAGGUGUGAGCAGUAACUACUGGAGGAGGUGGCUGUGCUGCCAUAAAUGUGGGCCUGCAGCCGCUCUGACACUGACAUGGCUGCAGUCAGGUCUGGUUCUGGUUCAGAAGUGAAGCAGAACACUACUGCUACCUCAGAUCGCUGUAGGGAUCAGUUUUUGAAACUCGUGCUGCAGACUCUGAGCGAAGAGACAGGAUGCGCUAUGGGAGACGCGUACUUACAGCAUCGCCUUUUCUUCACUGCAAACAAAAGACAUCUUCUGAGGUUUAACUGGCACCUGCAAUUGUAAGGAAGCAAACUGCAUGCUCACAAGAGAAAACACAAGAGAACUCGCACAACUGAGCAAUGCUUCCUUCUUUCACCUUCACUCCAUUGAGGCCCUUUCUCUGAAAGCCAAUGCGCUUACCUGAGAGCACGGCUGCAGGAACAGAACACUGGGUGCAUGCGAAUCAGAGACUGACUGGGCACUCGUUUAGAACAGUAUGCUGCAAAGUCCAUGUUUGAGCUAACAAGUUCAGCACUAAGCUUUAGGAAAAGAUGAUAAACAAACGGAUGAAGUGGACUGAACAGAAAACAGUAAAAGCUUUAAUUUCUAGAAGGAGAAGGAGAACACAUUAAAAAUGUUAUAUGCAUUCUACAAGAACACCAAAUGCUUUUUCUCCAGAUUGUCUCCUUGCACCAUAAACAACCCAAGAAGGACAAAAACCUGCUUGUUAAGAUCUGCUUUAUAUUACGAGGUGCUGCUGUAUGCAGUCACAUAAAAAAUAAUAAGCAUCUUUUUUUUCCAGAGUUUUCUCCCAGCAACGACUGCCUUCAUUGCAGAGCUGGUGAUGGUGACAGUGAACAAAUCAGAAGGGAAAGAGGGUAGUGCUGCUGGAUGGCCUUUAAAACAAAUGAUCUUAGCUUAAAUCACAGGAAUAUAAUUACAGAACACAGCCUCCACCAUCACAGCUGCUCAACCUCUUUGCCAGGUUAGCGAUUUCUACACUGUGAUUACUAAACUUAUAGGAGCCUUACACUUUAGCCAUAUAAACAGAGUAACACACAAAUCAAACAUUCUGCAUGUUUCAGUAUUUUUAAAAAUUACACACGGCUCAGGGGCCUUUUAGAAGCAAAAGCACACACUUAAAAUUAGUGAUAACGCUUUUAAGUACAGCUCUGCCCACUGAUGUGCCGUCAGAGAAAAGAUAAACCAGAUGGCAAACUCAAUAAAAAGCAGCAGACAGAUGAAUGCCUAAAAAAACGUUCACUAUUGCUUUGGAAUUGGUUGUCAUGGCAUUACAAAUUGACAGCACGGUCAGCCUCACACCUCCAACCCAUCCAUUUGCUAGAGCAAUACUUCUCACAGCUUCGCUCUGGCCAAAGCAAAGACCUCAGUGCUGUAGAAAUACGCUGCUCCUCACAGCCAGGUUAUUUCCACCAAAUCUCUGUUCGACUCCCACCAAACUGGGUGUGUGUGUGUGUGGCACAGGGCUGGCGCUGGGACAACUCACGCCUUUCACAAAAGCAAGUGCAUCAGACAAGCAAAGGAUGACCUGCAUUCUCAAACACCAAUUUCAGAACCAUAAAGUUCAGGCAAUUUUAAUACCGUGCUCCUUUUGUAGCUCAGAAUUCCUUGCUGUGAGCCAAAGCACAACCCACUGAGCACACAUCUUCUCUUCGUACAACUGGAACUGGGAUGGAAAACAAGUUGCUGGUUAAGAGUUCGGCAUUAAGUAAGCAAGUUUCUCUUCCCCAUGACAACAUCUGUUAGCAAGGAACAGCAUUUGUCAAAAAGACAGAAAAGAGAAAGGGAUGCCAUGGAAAAUCUGGUUUUUGUCACCUUCUGAGUUCUUUGUCCUCCCACUCACGUUCAUGUUUUGAAAGCCUAUGAAGUUCAAGUUGGUGAAAUCCACUAGAACAAAAACCUUAGAUUGCCACACUCCAGUUGCAUUACAUUUCUCAUUUUAAUAGAGGCAUAUAAGAUGGAAGUUUACAAUGAGCGCAGUAACCGUACAUCAGCACUUCUAUUCAGCUGAGCUGAGUUACUCAUCCCCGGUACAGAACCAGAACGCUGAUGCAUUGUCUGGGACCUGCCGAGAUAAUAGCUCAAAUCCACUGCUUACACAGAAAGCGAGCUUCACUGAAUCACCUGAGCACCUUCCAGACAGCUCACAUCGCCCAGCAACUCCGCACUCACACCGCUCGCAGUCUGAACUCUCAAGGCAAAAACAACUCACCGCCUUUUGACUUCAGCAAGCCACAGAAAACAAGCAAACAUUUGCUCAGCCGCAGGCAAGCGGUUCAUCAGGCAGCGCUGUCAGAAGCGUCUCAGGAUGCAACCAUCGCUGUGGUGCACCCAUGUGGAGCCCCUCCAUCGCUCCUUGUGCUGCACGAUGGGCACACAGCAACGCAGCACUGCGACCUGCAGCACAGCAGCAGCACAGACCACAGCAGCCAAGUAAUUUUAAAGGAUUUUAAUACAAACUUAAUAUAAACUAUUUCAGUCCCUCUUAACAUGUAAGACACUGACUCAAAAUACUUUUAUACCUUUUUUCAAGUAUUGCACAAUGUAGGUACAAAAUUAAUAUUUACGAUUACAUUUUCUUCCAUAAUAUAUAGCAAAAAUCUUUAAACUUUUAACAGAAAAUACAAUUUGUGUUUCUUUUGAAAAAAGCAAAUAUUUCGUACAUUUUGAUUCCACCACUAAGGAAUAUUCUGUACACAACUUUUUAUAUUUUUUUAGAAUCGAUGUCUUUAAGAUGGAUAUCUUACAAUUUCAGUAAAAAAAAUACAACAUGAAGCUGCUGCAGCUGUCACAGAUCACUGUAGUAAAAAGAUAUAAAUGCAAUACCAUGUUGUAGAAACAAUAUAUAUACUCUGAUAUUUUACAAACUUUGUACUAAAUUAAAUUAUACAAUUAGAAAAAGACCAAUAAACCCACUUACUAGUGCCAAUUUUUUAAUAUAUAUAUACAUAUGUUUGCGUGCAUAUAUAUAUAUACACACAAAAAAUUAGCCAUGUCCUUGCUAUAUCUUAAAUACUGUAAGAGGCCAUAUUUUGAGAGUAUAUUUUUUAAUGUACAGUCAGUAUAAAAUAAUUUUGUGCUUGGUUGGCAAAUGAAAAAAUGAUGCAUGUUGUAUUUCUCUAACCAAGCUUGAAUGUAUUCAUACUACAAGCCUUAAAAAAAAAAAUAUCUCAAGAGGUGGAAAAAAAGAUACACCCUUGGGUACGUGCAUUUUUACUU